AAUACUUUAAGUACAUUCGAUAGUCAAACUUUGCAAAUAUCCCUAAUUAAGUUUUUUAAGAAAUCACUAUAUGUGAAAAUUUUAGUACAAGAAUUAACACAAAAUAUAUCUAAGACUUAAAUGUAAGACCUGGGAUUGUAAAAUUACUAGAAGGAGCACAGGAGAAAAGCUACAUAAAAUGAAAUAAAACUAGACAAGUAAGACUGCAUGAAAUUACAGAUCUUCUGCAAAGCAAAAGAAACAACAGUGAGAGAUGAACCACAGAUCUAGAGAAAAUAUUUGCAAGAUAUAUUUCAUAAAAGGCUUAUAUUCAGAAUAUGUAAGGAAUUCAAAAUACUCAAUAGUAAGACAACCCUAUUUUAUUUUUUUAAUAUUUAUUUAUUUAGGUGUAGAUGGACACAAUACAAUGCCUUUAUUUUUAUGUGGUGCUGAGGAUCAAACCUGGGUCCCUCCAGUACUAGGGGAGAGCUCUACAGCUGAGACACAAUCCCAGCCCCAAUAACCCUAUUUUUGAAAAAAAUGGGUAAAAGACUUGAAUAGACUUUUUCCAAAAGAAGACUUACAAAUGACCAAUGGAUACAUGAAAAAAUUCUCAACAUCACUAAUCAUCAUAGAAAUGCAAAUUUAAGCCAAAAUGAGGAAUCAUCUCAUACCUGCUUGACUGAUAUUAUCAAAAAGAUGAAAGAACCAGGGGCAGGGGCUUUGCCUGUAAUCUCAGAGUUUUGGAGAUUGUGGCAGAAGGCUG
rnacentral:lncRNA from 1 species